GUACAAUUCAACAUUGGUAAUUUGGCAUGUUACAAAAUAACAAAAUUCAACAUUGGCGUGUUACAAAAUAAGAAAAGCGUGUAAUGUUGAUAUGGAAGCACACAAAAUACAAGAAAUCUACAAUGGCUAAGGCUAAUUCGUUCGUUGACCUGUUGACAAAAUAUGAAACGCCCAUAGGCGUUAAAAAAUAUGGAACGCCCAUAUAUAUAAAAAUAUAUAGUCUCACGAAUACAGUAAAGCCGUCCCAUUUCUGAUGAAGAAAUUCUCAUUAUUUUUGAGAUUUCUUGCAGAGGUUUUUCAACCAUUUCAGGCUCAAUAUCUUCUUUUACGACUUGCUUUUGUCAUCGUUCUUCUUUUUGUUGUUCUCCGAUGCAGGUGGUAGAGGUUUCGGGUUCCAUUGAUCAGCCCACAACAGCCCCUCAGAGCCGUAUAUGUCCAUUUCUUGUUUU
rnacentral:lncRNA from 1 species